AUGACAAUUUAAAACUGCUUGAUGAAAUGCCAUAAUGAGCUGCAGAAAUUAUGUUUUUCUGGUUUUUAACUUAUGAACUGGAUUGCAGGGGAUUAAAUGUUUUUUUCUUGAUUGGUUUACACCUGGAUAUUGAUUUAAAUGUGUUUGGAACAAGAUGCCCCAGCUUUUUCCAAUCUAAUUAACAAUUGAAACUGAAAUGGUGAAACCAGCAAAGUGACGCUACUGCAGUAGUUAAAAUAAGUUGAAAAAUGGGAACUGCCGUGUUCAAACUGAGUGCUAUUGUGGUUAAUGCUCAAUUGAUAAUUCCAUCAAGUUUAAAUCAUCAUUUGCAAGGUGUGGAAUUAAUGAAACACGCAAGACACGGUCCAGAUCAAUAUUUCACUGGUGCACUACCCAAAAUUGGUUAAAAAUUGGUGUUUUGGCUUAUGUUUCUCGGGUAGAAGCACUACUGGACCAUAUGAGCCAUGAAAAUAGUGUUCAAAUCAGCAAAUAGACUUGUACAAACACUAAAACAGCACUGAAACAAUCAGCAACUCAAAUUCAAAGUGGCAAUUGUGAAUUAUGCAGAAUUAAAGAACUAAAAUUGCACCAUAAAGUGAAAAAAAAAAUGGCCAGAAAAAUUGGAACUGCAGUGGGUGAAUUCAGUGGUAGUGGUUAAAAGGAUUAAAUGACACCUCAAGCAACUUUAUAUCAUCAUAAUGGAUGUGUACAAACACAUAAUCAGCAAAGAAAUGUACUGCAACAGAAUAUGAUAGGUCCACUUCCUACUCUCAAGUAGAUUACGGGCUUUUGGUGGUGAAUUGGUGAAAUGGAUCAAAAUUGACCAAAUGAACAGUAAAGACCAACUUUGAUGCACCAAAUAUGUGUGUGGAAACAAUCAAAGUGGACCAAAAUUCACUGAAUCACAAUUUGACUUGUUAAGUUCCAAUUUUCAAGCAAACAUGGAAAGUCAAACUGUGAUUUUGCAGAUUUGAUGAGAAUGGACCAAACGAACAAUGGAAACAAGUUUUAAAUGUUCAAAUACACUUGCACAGACAUUAGAACAUCACAGAUAUGGAUAGAAUCACAAAAUGACUAUGCUAGUUGUGAAAAUAUGCAGCAAAUUUUAACAAAACUGCAACUGGAAUGAAAAUGCUAUAGAAUCAAUGCUAGAUGGAAUCAACAAACCUGUAUAGAAAGUCCUAACAACUAGAUCUAACUGUACAUGAUUAGCUAGAAGAAUUGCAAUAUCCUAAGAUUCACAAUGAAACAGUACGGUGCAAAACUAUAAAGAC
rnacentral:lncRNA from 1 species